ACUGCCAAUGUUAAGAGAGAAAUGAUAUUCUGACUCAUUACUAUUUAAAUGGGCACCAAAAUUCAAACAGAAGUGACAGAGAAAACAAUGAGUAGUCAGACACUGAGCAAUGAAGGUCUAGAUAUGCAAAACAUAGUAAGUGGUAUUAAACAUUUGUUAAAACUAUGGGGGAGAACCUGGACAGUUAUGACAACCAAAAUUCAGUUAUACACCUGGUGCCAGUGGCUCUCAGUGGUAAUUAUGGCUAUCUGGGAAAAAACUAAGGCUGUUGGGAGUUCCUUAAUGUAUCAAUAUAUAUUAAGGAGUAGGAGUAAGAGAGAGAGAGAGAGAGAGAGAGAGAACACCCACAUUCAAUAAAAUUUGGUUUAAUCAAUGAAUGAAUCAUAACCUACAUAAACUAGAUGAGAAAAAUGAACUAGGUUAUCAAUUUAGUAAAGGAAUGACAUCAGUUGCAUUUUUGAAAUGUUUAA